UACGGGGGGGGCAAGCGUUGUUCGGAAUUACUGGGCGUAAAGCGCACGUAGGCGGCUUUCUAAGUCGGGGGUGAAAUCCUGGAGCUCAACUCCAGAACUGCCUUUGAUACUGAAGAUCUUGAGUUCGGGAGAGGUGAGUGGAACUGCGAGUGUAGAGGUGAAAUUCGUAGAUAUUCGCAAGAACACCAGUGGCGAAGGCGGCUCACUGGCCCGAUACUGACGCUGAGGCACGAAAGCGUGGGGAGCAAACAGG
rnacentral:rRNA from 1 species